rnacentral:rRNA from 1 species
GACGAACGCUGGCGGCGUGCUUAACACAUGCAAGUCGAACGGAAAGGCCCUGCUUUUGUGGGGUGCUCGAGUGGCGAACGGGUGAGUAACACGUGAGUAACCUGCCCUUGACUUUGGGAUAACUUCAGGAAACUGGGGCUAAUACCGGAUAGGAGCUCCUGCUGCAUGGUGGGGGUUGGAAAGUUUCGGCGGUUGGGGAUGGACUCGCGGCUUAUCAGCUUGUUGGUGGGGUAGUGGCUUACCAAGGCUUUGACGGGUAGCCGGCCUGAGAGGGUGACCGGCCACAUUGGGACUGAGAUACGGCCCAGACUCCUACGGGAGGCAGCAGUGGGGAAUAUUGCACAAUGGGCGGAAGCCUGAUGCGGCAACGCCGCGUGCGGGAUGAUGGCCUUCGGGUUGUAAACCGCUUUCGCCUGUGACGAAGCGUGAGUGACGGUAAUGGGUAAAGAAGCACCGGCUAACUACGUG